CACAUACACCCCAGUAAUUAUAUAAAUUUAUUGUGUUUGAAUAACAAACCAAUGGGAUACUUUAGAGAGUCUUCUGAGUGCUGUAAACAUUGUUUGACUUCUUAAAGUGCUGGUUUUUUUAGCAUGCAGGUACAUAUUACAAGUAAUAAUUGAAGUCAAAUGCAGAAAAAUGUUUAAAAAUAGGAAAUACAAACUUUGAAAACUUAAUGUAGUUUAAAUCGGCACAACUGAGUCAUUAGGAUUGCUCAGACUGUAUUCCCCAAAUAGCCCCCUUCACAUGUUCUUAAAAAGAAGUUAUAUAAAAUAAUGGCCUUUGCUUUUUUAAGCCUCUAGCUGCACUUACUGUUCAAACAUAAAGGCCCUGCAUUUUUGGAAUAAGUCAUCACAAAUGAGACACGUAUAGCUUAAGGUCACACACACACUUGCCACACACUUUCAGAAUUCUAAAAUCCACUAAAGACCUAGAAGCAAUGUCUCAUCGGAUGUUUCCAACUUAAAGGGCCUGUGAGUUUCAUUCCAUUGUAAAGCAUGAGCCAUAUUACAUGGAUCACUAGUUUUGCUUUUUAGUUUAUCACAUGGCUCGUAUUUCUCUCUGCAUCUUAUGCAUCAGCCUUAGCGACUGAAAUGACCUGGGGCCCAAGAAAGCUCAAGAUGCCACUUGUGGCUUGUCCCGUGGGUCCCGUGGUUUUGUGAGUUCCCUUUAACAGACUAUCUUCCUCUUUUCAGUGAAUAUUUUGGAAAUGUUUCAUUUAGUAAAGUGAAAAUCCUUGUCAGAAUCAGCACAGAUUAAAAUCCGGGCUAAGAGGGCAUAAAGAAAUGCUUUCUGGUCAGGGAAACUGGCUAUAUAAGAGGCUGUGUUCGUGAAAAGAAGAAAUGGUAGAAAACUUCCCUCAAAUGGUAAUGGGAAAUGGGUCAAGUCCUACAGGUAUUGUUUUAAUUCACUGCUCCGUGAGAACCACAAACAGCUGGUUAAAGAUUGAGCCCACCAACACUGUUAGAAAAGCAACUAUGGUUGGAUUUUCUUUCCUGCUCAGCUGGGCUAUUAUUAUGAAAAAUAAGGAGAACCAUUAAUGCAAAGUUUAGCUACCAA
rnacentral:lncRNA from 1 species